AAAAUUUUUAAUACUUACCAUGAUUAUAAUUUUUUUUUCCUUUGCCAUUAUUCAGCCUUCAGUGGAAACUUAUGACAAGAAAGUGAACAAGCAGAGAAUGAAAAAUAUGGGGGUUUUGUUCCUUUUUUUUUCUGCCAGUGCUUGAAACCUACAAGCUGGAGAAAAAAGAUCAGAAGAAUAAUUUUAUCAUCAGAUACUGUAAUUAUACCAUCUGGGCUGCUGAGAGGAUGAAUGUAAAUAUUGGAGUUCCCUUAGACAAGAAAGAAAUGAGGAACCCUGAGAUCCUCAGGGAAUGCUGCAAAUUACAUGUGCUGAUUAUGUGAAGAAAAGGUUCCCAGAAUCUCUUCCUCUAGAACUGCAGCAACUAUUUGAGAAAGGGCCUGGCUGAAGCUGAGGAGUAAAGAAAUAAGA